rnacentral:lncRNA from 1 species
GCAACAACAGCUCUCACAAGCUUCACCUCAUAAACUGGGACAAAGUCUUGAAAAGUGUGAAAGAGGGCUGGGAGUGAGAGAUCUACUAGCUCAAAAUAUAAGUUUAUUAAUAAAGAGGCUUAUAAGGUAAUGGCACAGAAGAACCACACUUAUGGAAAGAAGUGAUCAGAACAAUAAAUGGGGUAAAGGACAACUGGAGUACUCAGACCUCUAAUGCUCCCUAUGGAGUUGGG